UAGCAACAGAAACAUAAAAGCCGCCC
rnacentral:piRNA from 1 species